CCUACGGGAGGCAGCAGUGGGGAAUAUUGGACAAUGGGGGCAACCCUGAUCCAGCCAUGCCGCGUGUGUGAAGAAGGCCCUCGGGUUGUAAAGCACUUUCAGUGAGGAAGAACGCCUGGUGGUUAAUACCCAUCAGGAAAGACAUCACUCACAGAAGAAGCACCGGCUAACUCCGUGCCAGCAGCCGCGGUAAUACGGAGGGUGCGAGUGUUAAUCGGAAUUACUGGGCGUAAAGCGCGCGUAGGUGGCUUGAUAAGCCGGUUGUGAAAGCCCCGGGCUCAACCUGGGAACGGCAUCCGGAACUGUCAAGCUAGAGUGCAGGAGAGGAAGGUAGAAUUCCCGGUGUAGCGGUGAAAUGCGUAGAGAUCGGGAGGAAUACCAGUGGCGAAGGCGGCCUUCUGGACUGACACUGACACUGAGGUGCGAAAGCGUGGGUAGCAAACAGGAUUAGAUACCCCAGUAGUC
rnacentral:rRNA from 1 species